CACCAUGCCAGGACUGCCGACCCGGCCCUGCUUCUACGAUAUAGAUCUUGAUACAGAAACAGAGCAAGUUAAAGGCUUGUUCUAAAUGAACCAGACUUCCACAGGACCCAGUGCAGGCUCCCAAAACACAAACCCGUCUUUUGCCUUCUUGCUGCCGUUGGAGAAGAAAGUGAAUUUGAAAUAUGCCGGUUACACAAUGCGGGAGAAAUGGGGAAAUAGACCAAAGACAUAUUCUCCGUUCAAGAAUUCUGUUUGCAACAGAGUAUGGUGUCCGGUAAAAGGACCUCCACCAAGUUCGAAAGAAAGUAAUUUAUUUUCCGUUUCUGCAGAGUUUACAUUAUUUCCCACUGCUUACACUGUAGAAUGUUUAUUUUAUGGGGACUGAGGGAUUAAAAGAGUGUGAACUAAAAGGUACCAUUUUCCACUCUGGAGUUUUCUAUUUUGUCUUUGAACUGAAAAUAAACAGGUAUCUAGAAAACCAAA